rnacentral:rRNA from 1 species
GACGAACGCUGGCGGCGUGCUUAACACAUGCAAGUCGAACGGAAAGGCCCUGCUUUUGUGGGGUGCUCGAGUGGCGAACGGGUGAGUACCACGUGAGUAACCUGCCCUUGACUUUGGGAUAACUUCAGGAAACUGGGGCUAAUACCGGAUAGGAGCUCCUGCUGCAUGGUGGGGGUUGGAAAGUUUCGGCGGUUGGGGAUGGACUCGCGGCUUAUCAGCUUGUUGGUGGGGUAGUGGCUUACCAAGGCUUUGACGGGUAGCCGGCCUGAGAGGGUGACCGGCCACAUUGGGACUGAGAUACGGCCCAGACUCCUACGGGAGGCAGCAGUGGGGAAUAUUGCACAAUGGGCGGAAGCCUGAUGCAGCAACGCCGCGUGCGGGAUGACGGCCUUCGGGUUGUAAACCGCUUUCGCCUGUGACGAAGCGUGAGUGACGGUAAUGGGUAAAGAAGCACCGGCUAACUACGUG